UCUCGGCUGAGACCAGGCAGACAGGGAAGAAACAGAAGGAAAAAAUGCCAGGGCUCCAGUUGUACACGGAAGCUUUUCUAAAGUAGCUGGAGCUGAGAAGAAAGGUAACUGAGAAGACUCCUUGCAUGCUGAAGCCGGAGGAAGCUUCUGGAUCACAAUCACCGCGUCACACGCUGGGGCCUUGGCGAGCACCGUACAGGGAGAGCCGUCCGUCCAGGGCCAGGCCCAGGGUGUCAUUUCUGCGAGGCGGGUCUCUGAUCUGCCUCCAUAAAUAAAAGCCUGGAACAGAG